rnacentral:tRNA from 1 species
GGGGAUAUAGCUCAGUGUUAAGAGUGCUUGCAUAGCAUGCAUGAGGAUCUGGGUUCAGUUCCCACCACCCCCU